GUUGUGCCCCAGUUUUUUCUGUGAUUAUUUAUUAUUUUUCUCAGUCUCCUGCUCUUUUUCUCCCACGCCUUCUGCUUUAUUAUGUUAAUGUGUGUGGAGGCUGGGCAUGCCUCCAUGUGCACCUUCGGGAGGGAUUUGAAGGGCGGAUGGACAGACAGCAGGAUGGCUCUGGAGGGGCUUCCAAGUGCACGGGAUGCAGAGGGGCAGCCUGUCGGAGUCGUGCGGGUCUGUGUGCAGGCACAGGUACACACCAGCCCUGGAGCAGGGAGCUCUGCCCGGGCGCCUGCUCGUGCCCCGGGAGAAGCUGGGCACUCCCUUGGUGGUGGGCGAGGGAACUGGCCGCCGGUGCCAAAGUCAAUUUGUGUUGGUCGGUGAUGGUUCGGUUAAAACACAGCAAGGUUUUAAAGGCAGCAGAGAUAAAAAUGCUCUAAUGCAAUAGGAAUUCAUCGCGUUUGCCUGCUGCGAGGCAUGACCCUUACCUAAAAUGUAGCUUUUAGUGGGGAGAGGAGCUCUCAUGACAUUGAAGAUUCUCUGCUGGCAAGGAUGCCAUUAGGGCUGGGUACGUUAUUGAUUCCUCUUCCACGAUUUAAGCAGCAGAUAGUAAGUGUAACUGGAACGACACAGAAGCUGCUUCCAGGCAGUAAGUGGAGCUGGAGACAUUUUGGCCGGUAAGCAGAGCUGGCGCUUCUUGAGCUGAAGGUGCAGCGAGUGGCAGGGGCCCAGUGAAGGCUACAACCAGCACUGGGAUAGGCAGCAGAAACAGGAUCUUUUGGAGGUGAAAGACUUGCAAAACUCUGGGCUCCAGGACACCUGGAGGGGUGCGCAUUUCUUUUAGCAUCUGUUACAGUACUUUGCACUUUGCUUCUAGAGCUGAAUGCCAUCCGAACUUGGGAACAUCAGCAAUGCCCGGCUUUGGCUUGUGCGUAGUAAUAAUGUUGUCAGUAUGUGGUCUGUGGGUCUGGUUGCCUCGCUUCUUAGGGCUUUUCUGCAUGAGAAAUCUAAAAUAAGUUAAAUUGUGAACCCAGAAUACGCUAGCUGUGCUGCACUGCUUCCAAGGACAGAAACUCUUGGCAUGGUCUCUGGAAGAGGAGUAAGCUUCUCGUGCUUGCCACAUCCUGACUGUUCAAUCAGCAGUUUAAUGGGAAGUCAUUAGUGUACUAUAAAUUCACACAUUAGAUUUAUGUAGUGCUUAUUUUACCAUGUUGAAAAGCCUUUACUUUCCUGCUGUAUGGAUGUUCCCCAGUGUAAAUGAGAAGUUCGUGUAUAUGUUCAUCUUGUUUCCAUUAAUUAUAAUAAGUCUGGUCACAUUAUUUCUCUGAAACCUGCUGGAAUUUCAGCAGCUAGCGUAUCAGCCAUGAAGCCCACCAGGACUUAGAAAAUAAACGCUGAUCAUCGUGUCACUCUGUAUCAGGAAUCUGAGUCUGAAAUAUCCUAGGCAUAAGGAAAAGUUCUCAGAUGGUUUAUUUCAUGGGAAUGGUAAAAAGAGGACUAGAGAAGCAUGCUGCUUCCAUGGACAGUUACAUUUCUUGGGUGUAGGAAGAGAUUUUUGGAUUUCCCCAUUUAAAAGGACAUUAGUGGUAAACAUUGCAUGGGACAGCCCAGGCUGUAUGUUCCAUUCAGGGUUUGUUUUGGUUGCAUCCAAGUCUCUUGGUUGUUGCCUCUUCUUCGCUCAACAUAAAACCAGACCUUCGUGGUUCUGAUUCUGAAGCAAUCUCUGCAUCAUUGUGCUGGGCAUUUCCAAAGGCUGCUCCAUGAAAGAGCUCUCCAAUUCCCAUGUUCAAGAAGACGGUACAAGAAUUUCUCAGCAACGUCCAGUAAAAUGCUGAGUUACUCCUUAUUAGCCGGCUCAGUUCUGGUUCAGGAGAACGUGGAGCCCAGCCUGCCCUCUGUGGGAAGGUGUGCUUGCUGAAAGGUACACUGGAAAAUGGGACGUCUGCUCUGAAUGCUUUUGACAGGCUCAGAAGGGUCCAGCAGAAUUCACUGGCUUCUAUUUCUAGUGUAUUGGCUUUGUUUUGUCGCUGAGUCAGAGCUGAUAUGGAUCUAUACCGGCUACAGAGUGUUUAAGGAAAGAUUUCUGCUCUUAAGAACGAGAAAACCAGUGACUGUCUGCUGAGGUUACAUCUAUCAUGUGUUUUUAAACACACAUAGCCUGAUAACCUAGCAAAUUAUACAGAUUGUGAAGAGACAAAGAAAGAUAACGAUAACAAAUGAGCUUCCAUUUAUAUAACGCCUUUCAUUGAGAUGGAUAGUGAAGUGCUUUGAGAACUCUAUUAACGGAUUCUACAAACUAUCUAAUCUAUCGUAUCCCCAAACGUAUUGAGCGCAGCUUCACUCAGGCUUUAUGAGAAAAACAUCUCCAUUAAGCAACCAAUUUUUGUCCGUCUUUGGAGUGGUCAUUUAAGUCUCCACAGCGCAAGCAGGAAUGCAGAAAUCUUUACAUUUGUCAGUGAACUGAAGCCACCUUUGGGGUGAAAUGCAGCUAUUGCUUCACAGUCCAAAUUACUUCUAACGUCUUCACUACCUUGUAUCCAAGGAUGUCAAAUACACUCAUUAACUAAACUCUACAGCUACUAAUUCAUCAGGAAACUUGCCCUUUUGUAGCUUAGUGGUGGCAAAGAGAAAAGACAGAACUCCCAAAUUUUCUGCUAUGGUCGCUGCAUCACCUCUCUUCUCUCUCCCCUUUUCCUUGGUGAAAAAUUUCCCCUGAUGGCAAACCAUUUCUUCCACUAAAAGGGCAAGGAGAGACUUUUGACCUACUAUUUAUUCUGGCCUUUUCAAGGGAAGAGAAAAAUCCCAUCACACUCCUAAUGGGGCACCCCUGACUAAGACACAGUUUACGCCCAUUUUCUGUUAAUCUCAAGGCCACCUGAGUGUCUUCACACCAGCACAUUGCUGCAGCAUCAGGGGUGGGGGCCUUGGGAACGACCAGCAGGUGAAGUGCUGCGGCCACCACCCCCAGCCCUCCCCAGGUCCCCUCUGUGUCUCCUCCAACAGGCUGCUGCCUCCCAGGUGUCAGCCCUGGGAUGUUCAGAGAGCGGAUUUCCAGAAGGAAAUCUGUCCUCACAGUGCUGAAAGGGUUCCUGUGCUGCAGGAACCGAGUCCGUGCAGAGCGGGGCUGCGUGGCCGCGUGUGUGGAUCUGGAUUUGCUCGCUGAGAGCAGCAUGAGACGGGGAAAGCUUCAGGUUUGCUGUUCUCCCGAGACACCACCAUGAGUCCUGUGUUGUAGAAUCAGCCUGAGGGCUUACUCUGCAAGGAAAUGGGGAGUCCUGAUGGUUGUGACAUGCAUCACAUGCUGCUUUCAGCAUGGAGAAACCGGCAGCAUGAGGAAUCCUGGCCAGCAAUGACAAGAAAGGAUGUGAUUAGGGAGGGCGGAGUGGAUCUGCAAGCGGAGCAGCAAGGUGGAGAGGCACAGCUCAGGCCUGAGGUGUGCCUGGAAGCUGCACAGGAGCGCUGCAGGUCAGAGCAGCCACAGACAGGGAUCGCACAGCUUGAGCUCACCCCCUGGUCCUUGUCCCCCUGGCCCAGCCGUCGCUGCAGCUCUGCUCUCCAGCAUCCUCCUCCUGCCACCUUCCCUGUCCCUGUUCGAGUGGAACAGAGCAGAGGUGCAGGUGUGGGUGGGAUGGCAGAACGGGGAGCACUGGGAACCUUGGGAGCAGGGCAGGGGUUUGGAGGAGUCCCUGAAAUAAAGGGGAAGGAUGUGUCUGUGCAGGAAUGGGGGUACAGACACAGCUCUUCUGGCACAGGCUAUGGACUUCGCCCAGGGCACUGUGAGAACACACGGCCCAUAUCUUAACAAGCCGCUGCUUUAAAGCUUUGUCUGUGUGAAGAGCGGCACAUCUGUGCUCGCUGCCCUCUGCCAGCUGUGUCCUUCAGAGGUAUUUGUGGCUUCCAGUGCUGCCGAGCAGCACGUUCCGGCGGGGCAGGCGCCGGCCCCGGCACACGCUCCCUAAAUGCUGUCGGGAGCCGGGAUUAGCGACCGGCACUGCCCGUGCGAGGACCCAUCUGUGCCAUGCAGCUGCUGGCAGCGCUGCAGGUAGCGUGCUGGGACUGCUGCUCCCAUUUUGUGCGGCUGCUGUUGGCGUUAGGAAUUCACUCAAGGUGAGCAGAACCACGGCCACAAGCGCUUUGCACAAAGCACCCGUAAAACGAUGAACCAGCUCAGCCAGCCAAGCAAAUGAGAAAAGCAAACGUUGCUGCCCCAGAUGAGAAAGCAAACGUUGCCUUCACGGAGCAGCCUCUUCCCAUCUGGAGAAAGGUCUUUGGAGUACGCAUUAUCGCAUGGAUGUACACACACUGACAAUGUUAAUGAUUAAUACGAUUCUAUAAAUCAAAUUAUACGUGCAUUCUUUGAUCUAUGCUUUGAAAUACUUUUUUUUUUUCGCCUUUAAAACACUAUAGCUGUGAAUGUGUAUGUAUAGAUAUGAAUGCAGUUGGACUUAACUACUGCUAAGUACUUGGACUUGACUACUGCUAACACUCAGAGGACCUUCAGGAGGAGCGCUGUUUGAUCUUAAUUAACCUCCGGUUUAUUUGAUAGCGAGGAGGGCGAUUUCUGUUCCUCGGAUGUAGGGGAAGCAGCCCCAGCUCCGUGGGACCCCGUUUCACCCUUCCCCAGCUCUUCCCCCAGCGCCUCCGGGCCGCUCUCGCCUCGGCCCCGCGGCUGAGCACGCCUUGAGCGAUGUCCCCUCAGGGACGGAGCGGGCGAGCCGGGGCCCUCCCCCCGGGGCAG